rnacentral:rRNA from 1 species
UACGUAGGGUGCGAGCGUUAAUCGGAAUUACUGGGCGUAAAGAGUGCGUAGGCGGUUGUGCAAGACAGAUGUGAAAUCCCCGGGCUUAACCUGGGAAUUGCAUUUGUGACUGCACGGCUAGAGUGUGUCAGAGGGGGGUAGAAUUCCACGUGUAGCAGUGAAAUGCGUAGAGAUGUGGAGGAAUACCGAUGGCGAAGGCAGCCCCCUGGGAUAACACUGACGCUGAGGCACGAAAGCGUGGGGAGCAAACAGG